GGGGUGUGGCCACACCCACAAUAGCAAAGGACAUUUUAUUUUACAGAGCAUUUUCACAUCCUCUUCUCUCAUUUACUCCUCACGAUGAUUCUGCUAGGCAAAUGGUGGUAAACUGGUAUGGCUAUAAUUGUAUUUCACUAUAAUCAUUAGCCUACUGAAUUUGUGCACUUAGAAAUGUUUGAAUGACAAAUGUGGGAUGAGGGUGUAGCUCAGUGGUAGAGUGUUUGCCUAUUAAGUGUAAAGGUUUUGGCUUUGAUCCCCAGCACCACACACACAAGAUAAAAAGAUACAUUUAGGGUUAUGUGUAUUUUAACACAAUUUAAAAAUGCUUAUUAGCCAAAAGUCCUGUUUGAAGUAAAGCUCAAAGAAGCUAUGACUUGUAAAAAUCACACAACUAGGGAGGGCAACACUGGAACUUGGAAGGUUAGAACUCGACAUUGGAACUUCUGAGUCCAGCUCCGCACCUCCCGCACAAGGAAAAGAGAACCCUCAGUGCAAAAAGAAUUUUCACAACACAGCACCACACAAAGCACAGCCAGAAGCUACAAGCUCGGUGCCCUGAGCUUUCUAAGGCACCUUGUAAUAUGCUAAUACAACAGCUACUCUUGAGUUUGGCUGCAGAACCCAGCUUUCUCUGCGAUGUCACUCACGCGUGGGGCAGCUGAUUCAACAGAUGACAUGCAGCCACAACAUGGAUUAGGAAGAGAAAAGCAGCAUUUGUUCCCCGGAAGCAAACCUGAAGUCCAAGGGAACACUGGUAGGAGGAGGAAGCCAUAAGAACAAAAUGGAGGUCCACCACGGUGGCUGAUUGAGGACAAUCACAGUGGCAUGAUUGCAGACAUCCUACUGACCGACCAAGGAUUCAAGCUGACCAGAGGGCCUCCUAUGAAAUCCUGACUAGCAUAGCCAGCCAUGAGUCUCCACUGCUAUGACGCAGGUGAAGAAGCCAAAGGAAACCAAACUGAGGAUGCUGAUUGCCAGAAGCUGAGG
rnacentral:lncRNA from 1 species